rnacentral:siRNA from 1 species
AACCGCGAUGAAUCAGAUCCCA